AUGUUCAAUUCAAAUUAAAAAGUCCCUUGAUAAGGAUGAAAGAUGUUUUCAGGCCUGACAAUACACAUAUGAUUAAAACAUGGCCUCCUAUUUCUUGGGAUCUAAACACUGGUUUUU
ensembl:snRNA